UACGGAGGGUGCAAGCGUUAAUCGGAAUUACUGGGCGUAAAGCGUACGCAGGCGGUUGUUUAAGUCAGAUGUGAAAUCCCCGGGCUCAACCCGGGAAAUGCAUCUGUGACUGGACGGCUAGAGUCUUGUAGAGGGGGGUAGAAUUCCAUGUGUAGCGGUGAAAUGUGUAGAGAUGUGGAGGAAUACCGGUGGCGAAGGCGGCCCCCUGGACAAAGACUGACGCUCAGGUGCGAAAGCGUGGGGAGCAAACAGG
rnacentral:rRNA from 1 species